GUCCCUGUAGCGUAGUGGAUGGCGCAUUGGACUUUUAAUCCAGAAGUCGUGGGUUGGAAUCCCACAGGGGACG